rnacentral:rRNA from 1 species
UUACGAUUUGAUGCAAGGUUAAGCAGUAAAUGUGGAGCCGUAGCGAAAGCGAGUCUGAAUAGGGCGUUUAGUAUUUGGUCGUAGACCCGAAACCAGGUGAUCUACCCUUGGUCAGGUUGAAGUUCAGGUAACACUGAAUGGAGGACCGAACCGACUUACGUUGAAAAGUGAGCGGAUGAACUGAGGGUAGCGGAGAAAUUCCAAUCGAACCUGGAGAUAGCUGGUUCUCUCCGAAAUAGCUUUAGGGCUAGCCUCAAGUGAUGAUUAUUGGAGGUAGAGCACUGUUUGGACGAGGGGCCCCUCUCGGGUUACCGAAUUCAGACAAACUCCGAAUGCCAAUUAAUUUAACUUGGGAGUCAGAACAUGGGUGAUAAGGUCCGUGUUCGAAAGGGAAACAGCCCAGACCACCAGCUAAGGUCCCAAAAUAUAUGUUAAGUGGAAAAGGAUGUGGCGUUGCCCAGACAACUAGGAUGUUGGCUUAGAAGCAGCCAUCAUUUAAAGAGUGCGUAAUAGCUCACUAGUCGAGUGACACUGCGCCGAAAAUGUACCGGGGCUAAACAUAUUACCGAAGCUGUGGAUUGUCCUUUGGACAAUGGUAGGAGAGCGUUCUAAGGGCGUUGAAGCAUGAUCGUAAGGACAUGUGGAGCGCUUAGAAGUGAGAAUGCCGGUGUGAGUAGCGAAAGACGGGUGAGAAUCCCGUCCACCGAUUGACUAAGGUUUCCAGAGGAAGGCUCGUCCGCUCUGGGUUAGUCGGGUCCUAAGCUGAGGCCGACAGGCGUAGGCGAUGGAUAACAGGUUGAUAUUCCUGUACCACCUAUAAUCGUUUUAAUCGAUGGGGGGACGCAGUAG